rnacentral:lncRNA from 1 species
GUGGUGUGAUGGAUGAGCCGUCCGUGUGUGGAACGUCCAGCCCCCUAGCGCGACCCACAAGUGACCCAGACCCAUAGCGGGACCCAUAGCGUGGCUUCCCUGCCCCAUAGAACGGCCCCAUUGGGUGGUGUGAAGGAUGAGCCGUCCCGGUUCCAUCCGUGUGUGGCACAUCCAGCCCCAUAGCGCGACCCAUAGCGCGACCCACAAGUGACCCAGACCCAUAGCGGGACCCAUAGCGUGGCCCUGACCCAUAGCAUGGCUUCCCCGCCCCAUAGAACGGCCCCAUUGGGUGGUGCAGACCCCAAGGUGUCCCUGUUCCAUCCAUGUGUGGCACAUCCAGCCCCAUAGCGCGACCCAUAGCGGGACCCACAAGUGGCCCAGACCCAUAGCGGGACCCAUAGCGUCAGCCCUGACCCAUAGCGUGGCUUCCCCGCCCCAUAGAACGGCCCCAUUGGGUGGUGUGAAGGAUGAGCCGUCCGUGUGUGGAACGUCCAGCCCCCUAGCGCGACCCACAAGUGACCCAGCCCCAUAGCGGGACCCACAAGUGGCCCAGCCCCAUAGCGUGACCCAUAGCAGGGCCCUGACCCAUAGCGUGGCUUCCCUGCCCCAUAGAACAGCCCCAUUGGGUGGUGCAGUCCUUGCCCCACCAGCACAUGGUGCAUCCAGCCCCAUAGCACGACCCAUAGUGUGACCCACAAGUGACCCAGCCCCAUAGUGUGACCCACAAGUGGCCCAGACCCAUAGCGUGACCCAUAGCAGGGCCCUGACCCAUAGCGUGGCUUCCCUGCCCCAUAGAACAGCCCCAUUGGGUGGUGCAGUCCUUGCCACACCAGCUCAAGGUGCAUCCAGCCCCAUAGCGUGACCCACAAGUGGCCCGGACCCAUAGCGCGACCCAUAGCGUGGCCCAGACCCAUAGAGUGACCCAUAGAGCAGCCCAGACCCAUAGCGCUGCCCCCAGUCCCCCAUUCUGACUCCCUGGGGCUGCCCCACGGCCCUUCCCCCUGCCCCACAGCCCUGCCCCACGGCGCUGACCCUGCCCCACAUCUCUGCCCCACACAUCCCAAACCAGCCAAACCUGAGGCUCUAUGGUCCCAUCACAGCUCUUCCUCCCACCUCACAGCCCUUCCCCCUGCCCCAUAGACCAGCCCCACAUCUCUGCCCCAUAGAGCUGACCCUGCCCCACAUCUCUGCCCCAUAGCGCUGACCAUAGAACCUGCCCCAUAGCUCUGCCCCACAGAUUUCCCUCAUAACAUCACAUUGU